ACUCUAAGAGGUGCUUGCACCUCUGGCGUCGAGCCCCUGACGGGUGAGUAAUGCUUGGGAAUAUGCCUUAUGGUGGGGGACAACAGUUGGAAACGACUGCUAAUACCGCAUGAUGUCUACGGAGCAAAGUGGGGGACCUUCGGGCCUCACGCCAUAAGAUUAGCCCAAGUGGGAUUAGCUAGUUGGUGAGGUAAUGGCUCACCAAGGCGACGAUCCCUAGCUGGUUUGAGAGGAUGAUCAGCCACACUGGGACUGAGACACGGCCCAGACUCCUACGGGAGGCAGCAGUGGGGAAUAUUGCACAAUGGGCGCAAGCCUGAUGCAGCCAUGCCGCGUGUGUGAAGAAGGCCUUCGGGUUGUAAAGCACUUUCAGUAAGGAGGAAAGGUUAAGUGUUAAUAGCGCUUAGCUGUGACGUUACUUACAGAAGAAGCACCGGCUAACUCCGUGCCAGCAGCCGCGGUAAUACGGAGGGUGCGAGCGUUAAUCGGAAUUACUGGGCGUAAAGCGUACGCAGGCGGUUUGUUAAGCGAGAUGUGAAAGCCCCGGGCUCAACCUGGGAACUGCAUUUCGAACUGGCAAACUAGAGUGUGAUAGAGGGUGGUAGAAUUUCAGGUGUAGCGGUGAAAUGCGUAGAGAUCUGAAGGAAUACCGAUGGCGAAGGCAGCCACCUGGGUCAACACUGACGCUCAUGUACGAAAGCGUGGGUAGCAAACAGGAUUAGAUACCCUGGUAG
rnacentral:rRNA from 1 species